CUACUAUGAAAAAUGUUCUCUCCCCAUAAAGGGGGGAGGGGGGGCUGCUCAUAUUAUCUUCGAUCAUCUCAAACUUAACUCCUUAACUCACUUUUGUGUAAGUCAUAUUUAUCAGACUUUAAAAUGAUGUUAUGUUUCUUUUUUAGAGUUCUUUCCAAAACUCUGAGAGCAGAGGACCACUGGCUUCCGUCUCUUUGACAAAUACAAAUAAGACCACCUGGGGCCUCUCCAAUUAUUCUCUUUGGAGAAUUUUCAUACCGAAGAUCCUCCUUAAGACAGUUAAUUCUCUGUGUGGAAGCUUAAAUAAUAGCUCUGCCUAUUUAUAGCUACGUUAAAUUUUCCAUUUACUUCCAUCUCAGUCUUGUGUGUAAGUCCCUGCCAUGCCUGCCAUUUCUGAGCAAUGAGCACACUGAGAAUUCUUGUGAGUGGGCACAGGGGGGAGGAAAGCCAGCACCUCUCCCACUACCUCCCAGGUGUUUUUUAUGGGCACAGAAGGAGUUAAUGAUGCCACAAAGAAUGAAGAACAGGUUAAAAAAAAAUCUUCUGUUGAACAGCAAUGUUUAUUCUGAGACUCUGAUCCCAAACGGAUAUUUAGCAAACUUUUAUGCAAAGUGCUUUGUAUUAUAAUGACUACUGAGACACAAUUCAUGAGCUGCCAUAUCUGCCAGCUGCAUGUAGGUGUCUCUCAUACCCCAAGACUUCUUAAAUGACAUUAUAUGCCCGAAUGUGGCCAAGGGUGGUAAACCGUGGAUUUCUUUAUUACUGAAUUUAAAUUAUGUACGGGCCAUAUAAUAUUGCCUUGUUUUUGUUUCUUUCAUCCAGCAAGUCUGAACUGCUUGCCACAUCCCUGUGGAGCCACUAUCACUGUCAUCUGGUACAUGAACAAUUUACAGCAUAUAUCUGCAAAGCGUUAAUUAUCAGUGCCUCUAAUUCAUGGCAGCUCAGCAGCUGUUCCUGA
rnacentral:lncRNA from 1 species